rnacentral:rRNA from 1 species
UGGGGAAUUUUGGACAAUGGGCGAAAGCCUGAUCCAGCAAUGCCGCGUGUGUGAAGAAGGCCUUCGGGUUGUAAAGCACUUUUGUCCGGAAAGAAAUCCUUGGCUCUAAUACAGUCGGGGGAUGACGGUACCGGAAGAAUAAGCACCGGCUAACUACGUGCCAGCAGCCGCGGUAAUACGUAGGGUGCAAGCGUUAAUCGGAAUUACUGGGCGUAAAGCGUGCGCAGGCGGUUUGCUAAGACCGAUGUGAAAUCCCCGGGCUCAACCUGGGAACUGCAUUGGUGACUGGCAGGCUAGAGUAUGGCAGAGGGGGGUAGAAUUCCACGUGUAGCAGUGAAAUGCGUAGAGAUGUGGAGGAAUACCGAUGGCGAAGGCAGCCCCCUGGGCCAAUACUGACGCUCAUGCACGAAAGCGUGGGGGAGCAAAACAGGAUUAGAUACCCUGGUAGUCCACGCCCUAAACGAUGUCAACUAGUUGUUGGGGAUUCAUUUCCUUAGUAACGUAGCUAACGCGUGAAGUUGACCGCCU